AACGAACGCUGGCGGCAUGCCUAACACAUGCAAGUCGAACGAGACCUUCGGGUCUAGUGGCGCACGGGUGCGUAACGCGUGGGAACCUGCCCUUAGGUUCGGAAUAACUCCCCGAAAGGGGUGCUAAUACCGGAUAAUGUCUUCGGACCAAAGAUUUAUCGCCUUUGGAUGGGCCCGCGUUGGAUUAGCUAGUUGGUAGGGUAAAAGCCUACCAAGGCGACGAUCCAUAGCUGGUCUGAGAGGAUGAUCAGCCACACUGGGACUGAGACACGGCCCAGACUCCUACGGAGGGCAGCAGUGGGGAAUAUUGGACAAUGGGCGAAAGCGUGAUCCAGCAACGCCGCGUGAGUGAUGAAGCCCUUAGGGUUGUAAAGCUCUUUUACCCGGGAUGAUAAUGACAGUACCGGGAGAAUAAGCUCCGGCUAACUCCGUG
rnacentral:rRNA from 1 species